rnacentral:piRNA from 1 species
UCUUAGACAGUCACCAGGGAGAAA